AUUGAACGCUGGCGGCAGGCCUAACACAUGCAAGUCGAGCGGAUGACGGGAGCUUGCUCCUUGAUUCAGCGGCGGACGGGUGAGUAAUGCCUAGGAAUCUGCCUGGUAGUGGGGGACAACGUUUCGAAAGGAACGCUAAUACCGCAUACGUCCUACGGGAGAAAGCAGGGGACCUUCGGGCCUUGCGCUAUCAGAUGAGCCUAGGUCGGAUUAGCUAGUUGGUGGGUAAUGGCUCACCGAGGCGACGAUCCGUAACUGGUCUGAGAGGAUGAUCAGUCACACUGGAACUGAGACACGGUCCAGACUCCUACGGGAGGCAGCAGUGGGGAAUAUUGGACAAUGGGCGAAAGCCUGAUCCAGCCAUGCCGCGUGUGUGAAGAAGGUCUUCGGAUUGUAAAGCACUUUAAGUUGGGAGGAAGGGCAGUAAGUUAAUACCUUGCUGUUUUGACGUUACCGACAGAAUAAGCACCGGCUAACUCUGUGCCAGCAGCCGCCGUAACAC
rnacentral:rRNA from 1 species